rnacentral:lncRNA from 1 species
CUGGGAAAGCACAUGCUCUCGUGCGAGCUACACAAUGUAAGCACUUACUUGUGUUUGUCUUGUGCUUUGGCUGAUUCGACUGCCGGUGGACCUUCAUGCAUUCUUCCUCUUGUCGUGUGCUCUGGAGACCCUGUCUGCUGCUGAGUCUCUCCCAGGGCCCCACAGAUGCAGCCGUUCCAAUGAGAUUGUGAGGAAGGAGAGUAUGGCCAUCCAUCAGUGCCCUGGGCCGGCCCAUUCCUUGGACCAAAUCCUACCAGCAAGCAGAAGAAUGGCAGCUGCUACCCAGCUCACCCCACAGGCAGGGCCUGUGUCAUGGAGCUCAAGAACCAGGAGUUCUCAGUAACACAAUGGAAAUGAUGGUACCCAGCUCACCGGCUCUGAUUCUCUCUUAAUUUCCAAUACAACCAGAAUCUGGGGAUGGGAAAGGAGGAAACAGAAGAGGAAGGGCUAAGGAUGAAGCUAAGGAAAUAGGAUUUCCCCUUUCCCUAGGGAUGCCAUCAACUGUGUCUCCAGGAGAUUUAAAGGGCAGGGAACAUCACACACCGGGGCUUGUUGUGGGGUGGGG